rnacentral:rRNA from 1 species
AGGAUCAUUCGCAAUGGGGGAAACCCUGACGAUGCGACGCUGCGUGGAGGAUGAAGGCCCUCGGGUCGUAAACUCCUGUCAUGAGGGAAGAGGGAACGGGACCCAACACGUCCCGGACUUGCCGGUACCUCAAGAGGAAGGGACGGCUAACUCUGUGCCAGCAGCCGCGGUAAUACAGAGGUCCCGAGCGUUGUUCGGAUUUACUGGGCGUAAAGGGCGCGUAGGCGGCCGUGCGUGUCGGAUGUGAAAUCUCCGGGCUCAACCCGGAAAGUGCGUCCGAAACUGCAUGGCUAGAGUGCGGGAGGGGGAAUCGGAAUGCAGGGUGUAGCGGUGAAAUGCGUUGAUAUCCUGCAGAACACCGGAGGCGAAGGCGGAUUCCUGGAACGCAACUGACGCUCAGGCGCGAAAGUCGGGGGAGCAAACA